GUAGGUAGAGGUUGCGAUAUUUAAUAGUAUGUUUGCGGAGGUAAGCACAGUGAUGUAAACAGAAAGGAAAUUUCGCCGAAAUGUAUAGCUAAUGCUUUGAGGCUAUAACAUUGGGGUUAUGUAGAAGAUACAUAACACUGUCACAGUUCGCUUUGUGAGGAGCUAUC
rnacentral:ncRNA from 1 species